rnacentral:rRNA from 1 species
CCCAGACUCCUACGGGAGGCAGCAGUGGGGGAUAUUGCACAAUGGGGGAAACCCUGAUGCAGCGACGCCGCGUGAGUGAAGAAGUAUUUCGGUAUGUAAAGCUCUAUCAGCAGGGAAGAAAGUGACGGUACCUGAAAAAGAAGCUCCGGCUAAAUACGUGCCAGCAGCCGCGGUAAUACGUAUGGAGCAAGCGUUAUCCGGAUUUACUGGGUGUAAAGGGAGAGUAGGUGGCAGAGCAAGUCCGAAGUGAAAACCCAAAGCUCAACUAUGGGAAUGCUUUAGAAACUGCUCAGCUAGAGUGCAGGAGAGGCAAGUGGAAUUCUUAGUGUAGCGGUGAAAUGCGUAGAUAUUAGGAGGAACACCAGUGGCGAAGGCGGCGUGCUGGACUGUAACUGACACUGAGGCUCGAAAGCGUGGGGAGCAAACAGGAUUAGAUACCCUUGUACAU